UUUCAGUGGCACAUCCGUGCUGUCAUCUCUUUCUGUUAAGAGAAAUAAACACUGCGUCAGUACGACAAACCACCACAAAACCACAAACUUCAGCUAUCGUCACAUUGAAACACACUAUGCUAACAGCAAGAAGCUCCUGAUGUCAGUAACAGGACCUGCGGGUGACACCUGAUCCCACAGCACUAAUUCAGCUGUGACUACAGAGAUAAUGAACUGUUGCAUCUAUAGACAAAGGGCUUUUUCUGUAUUAGGAGCAUAGACGCUCAUUAACUGCCUAUGAGAAAAUGAUAGAGGCUGGAAUAUCAAAACGGCUGACUCAUCCUGUCCUAAUCUGGGCCUAUCAAUUACCGAAUCCAUUAUAAAAUAGGCUUGUUAGCUACUAAUCAUGACAUGACACAUUAGUGCUUGUUUCUGUAUCAGUCGCUCUUUGUUUCUCGGUUUCUGCUCUCAUUAAGUUUUGGAAAAGCAUGU